rnacentral:rRNA from 1 species
GCCUACCAUGGUGGUAACGGGUAACGGGGUGUUAGGGCACGACACCGGAGAGGGAGCCUGAGAAACGGCUACCACAUCCAAGGAUGGCAGCAGGCGCGCAAAUUACCCAAUCCCGACACGGGGAGGUAGUGACAAUAAAUAACAAUACGGGGUUCUUUCGGAUUUCGUAAUUGGAAUGAGUACAAUUUAAAUCUCUUAACGAGGAACAAUUGGAGGGCAAGUCUGGUGCCAGCAGCCGCGGUAAUUCCAGCUCCAAUAGCGUAUAUUAAAGUUGCUGCAGUUAAAAAGCUCGUAGUUGAAUUUCGGGACCAAUAUGUCGGUCGUGCCUCGGUACGUACUGGCAUCGUUGGUUUCUCCCUUCUGAAGAACCAUGAUGUCAUUCAUUUGGUGUCGUGGGGAAUCAGGACUGUUACUUUGAAAAAAUUAGAGUGUUUAAAGCAGGCUCACGCUUGAAUACAUUAGCAUGGAAUAAUGAAAUAGGACGUUUGAUUCUAUUUUGUUGGUUUCUAGGAUCGACGUAAUGAUUAAUAGGGAUAGUUGGGGGCAUUAGUAUUCAAUUGUCAGAGGUGAAAUUCUUGGAUUUAUUGAAGACUAACUACUGCGAAAGCAUUUGCCAAGGAUGUUUUCAUUAAUCAAGUACGAAAGUUAGGGGAUCGAAGACGAUCAGAUACCGUCGUAGUCUUAACCAUAAACUAUGCCGACUAGGGAUCGGAUGAUGUUAAUUUUUUAAUGACUCAUUCGGCGCCUUACG